rnacentral:rRNA from 1 species
AUUGAACGCUGGCGGCAGGCCUAACACAUGCAAGUCGAGCGGAUGAAGGGAGCUUGCUCCUGGAUUCAGCGGCGGACGGGUGAGUAAUGCCUAGGAAUCUGCUUGGUAGUGGGGGAUAACGUCCGGAAACGGGCGCUAAUAAUGCAUACGUCCUGAGGGAGAAAGUGGGGGAUCUUGGGACCUCACGCUAUCAGAUGAGCCUAGGUCGGUUUAGCUAGUUGGUGGGGUUAAGGCCUACCAAGGCGACGAUCCGUAACUGGUCUGAGAGGAUGAUAGGUCACCCUGGAGCUGAGACACCGUCCAUACGCCUACGGGACGCAGCAGUGGGGAAUAUUGGGCAAUGGGCGAGAGCCUGAUCCAACCAUGCCGCGUCUGUGGAGAAGAUCUUCGGAUUGUAAAGCACUUUAAGUUGGUGGGAAGGGCAGUAAGUUAAUACCUUGCUGUUUUGACGUUACCAACAGAAUAAGCACCGGCUAACUUCGUG